CCUACGGGAGGCAGCAGUGGGGGAUAUUGCACAAUGGGGGGAACCCUGAUGCAGCGACGCCGCGUGGGUGAAGGAGCGUUUCGGCGCGUAAAGCCCUAUCGGCAGGGAAGAAGAUGACGGUACCUGACCAAGAAGCCCCGGCUAACUACGUGCCAGCAGCCGCGGUAAUACGUAGGGGGCAAGCGUUAUCCGGAUUUAUUGGGUUUAAAGGGAGCGUAGGCCGGCUUUUAAGUCAGCUGUGAAAGUCCGCGGCUCAACCGUGGAAUUGCAGUUGAAACUGGAGGCCUUGAGUGCACACAGGGAUGCCGGAAUUCAUGGUGUAGCGGUGAAAUGCUUAGAUAUCAUGAAGAACUCCGAUCGCGAAGGCAAGUGUCCGGGGUGCAACUGACGCUGAGGCUCGAAAGUGCGGGUAUCAAACAGGAUUAGAUACCCUAGUAGUC
rnacentral:rRNA from 1 species